CCUACGGGAGACAGCAGUGAGGAAUAUUGGCCAAUGGACGAGAGUCUGAACCAGCCAAGUAGCGUGAAGGAUGACUGCCCUAUGGGUUGUAAACUUCUUUUAUAUGGGAAUAAAAUGUUCCACGUGUGGGAUUUUGUAUGUACCAUAUGAAUAAGGAUCGGCUAACUCCGUGCCAGCAGCCGCGGUAAUACGGAGGAUCCGAGCGUUAUCCGGAUUUAUUGGGUUUAAAGGGAGCGUAGGUGGAUUGUUAAGUCAGUUGUGAAAGUUUGCAGCUCAACCGUAAAAUUGCAGUUGAAACUGGCAGUCUUGAGUACAGUAGAGGUGGGCGGAAUUCGUGGUGUAGCGGUGAAAUGCUUAGAUAUCACGAAGAACUCCGAUUGCGAAGGCAGUUCACUGGACUGCAACUGACACUGAGGCUCGAAAGUGUGGGUAUCAAACAGGAUUAGAUACCCGAGUAGUC
rnacentral:rRNA from 1 species